UUGAAAGGGAAACGAUUGAAGUCAGUCGUACCUGCGGACAAUCAGCUUUUUGAGUGUGAUUAUGUGGAUUGUGAGGAGUUUAAUCACCCUCAUGUUUUACGUAUUCGUGCUCUUGGGUGUACUUGCCCGUGUGGUAGGUUAACAUCAAUUUUGGUCGUCAUAAAAUGACUGGAGGAAUGUAGCUUUGGUCUCGUAUCGAAGUGUUAUAGACUCUGGUAGAUGUGACGAUUGGGAUUGAGGAUUGCAACGGAUACCCUUCGGGGCUACUCGUCUGAUCUCUGAAGGUUGCUCCGGUGCCGAAAGCGUGCUUACGGUCAUCGAAAGUGAUUUUCAAAAGGUUAGAACGGGUUAAAUUCGUUAAG
rnacentral:rRNA from 1 species